rnacentral:lncRNA from 1 species
GUAGUUAUUUCUUUUGAACAUUUUCCCCUUUCCCUAUAUAUAUGAUGUGCUAAUCUGAGUAUUUCCCCCUCCCUUAAAUUUUAUUAUUGUUUUUCUUUCAUUAGUUAUCUUGGAUCAAAAAGGAUGAUGGAUGUUUUAUUAUCGGUCAAAAGUUGUAUUAAAAGUGAGUCCAAGGGAAUACUCAACUCAAGAUGAUUUUUUUACCACACAUAUCGUUAUUUGUUGAUUUUGAAUGUAAUUAGCUUGGCUUAAGUCCAAUUUUCUGCAAUUUUUUAGAGCUUAAUUUAUAGGUUGCGAAAGUAUGCCG